AAACAAUAAUCACGGAUUACUUCAUGAUUUCUGUGAGACAGAAAUUUAGGAGCAGCUUAGCUGGGCAGUUCUGCCUCAGGGUCUCUCACGACAUCGCAGUCAGGUGGUGACUGAGACUGGGGUCAUCUCAAACAGGUGUGGGCUGGAACAACUCGCCCUGUCUCCAUGCAGUCCCCCCACAAGGCCUGACAAGCAUGGGAGUUGCAGGUAGCCAGACUUCUCACACAGUGGUUCAGAGCUCCCAAGUCUCAUGGACAGAGAAAGAGAGAGAGAGAAAGUAAGAGCUAUAUCACUUUUGAGAAUCAAACCACAGAAGUCACAUAGCAUCACUUCCACCAUAAUCUGUGGUGGUAACAAGCCCUCCCCCGAUCCCUACCCAGAUUCAAGAGGAGGGAAUGUAGUUCCACCUUUCAGUGGGAGGAGUGCUAUUGUGAAUAAUCCUGCAAUGACAUGGGAGUAUAGAUGUCGCUUUGACAUACUGAUUUCCUUUCCUAUGGAUGUAUACCCAGAAGUGGGAUUGCUGGACCUUAUGGCAGUUUGUCUCUAAUUUUUUAAGAAAUCUCCACAUUGUUUUCCAUAAUGGCUGUAGCAGUUGACAUUC
rnacentral:lncRNA from 1 species